UGCCAGACUCCUACGGGAGGCAGCAGUGGGGAAUAUUGCACAAUGGGGGAAACCCUGAUGCAGCAACGCCGCGUGAGUGAAGAAGUAUUUCGGUAUGUAAAGCUCUAUCAGCAGGGAAGAAGAAAGACGGUACCUGACUAAGAAGCCCCGGCUAACUACGUGCCAGCAGCCGCGGUAAUACGUAGGGGGCAAGCGUUAUCCGGAUUUACUGGGUGUAAAGGGGGCGCAGACGGCAGCGCAAGCCAGGAGUGAAAGCCCGGGGCCCAACCCCGGGACUGCUCUUGGAACUGCGUGGCUGGAGUGCAGGAGGGGCAGGCGGAAUUCCUGGUGUAGCGGUGAAAUGCGUAGAUAUCAGGAGGAACACCGGUGGCGAAGGCGGCCUGCUGGACUGCAACUGACGUUGAGGCCCGAAAGCGUGGGGAGCAAACAGGAUUAGAUACCCCGGUAC
rnacentral:rRNA from 1 species